AUUACGUUGCCAUUUCGUCACAUUCGCGUCGCAUGUCUGUUGCACGUACGCAGAUAUAGAUUUGCAGUGUUUCAAAAACAUUGACUGUGUUAUAACAAUCAUUUGUUUUUACUUUAAUUUAAACUUUAAGUGUCCAGGAAUACAUAUUUACUGUAAAAAUGUAAAGAUCAUGCUGCGCUCACCAGCUUGAAUGACAUACAAUCGUGGUGGGUCUAAGAAAAUCUACAAAACGGAUCAUUUUUAAAAAGAACAUGAGCGUUCACGAGAUGACCUUCGUUUUGAGGAAUAUUCCUUCCGGUCUAGGCGAUGUGAGGAAGAAUGACCCGUAUGAUCAUGCAACCGAUCUCUUCUCCCGUUUUCCCGAUUGCGGCUCUGAUGGCCGUCUUUGUGUCUGCAAAUGUAAUAUAUAUAUACAUAUCAUAAUAUUAUUUAUUAUUGCAUAUCUCUGCUUUAGAAAAAAGGUCUCGUCGCCACCACAAUGCGGGGAAUAUUAUAUUAUUAGUUAGAAAAACUACGUUAUACAUUGAUUUACAUUAUAUGCAGAAUAUUACCUGUCAUCUGAGUAGCUCCUGCGAUUAUUCUUUUUGUCCAAAUGGUGAGAAGAUCGUUCAUGCCUGUGAACAUAAGUUUAGGAUUAAGAUAGUGCUAACUUUAAAAGAAUGAACUCAACGUAUUGACUGUAAAAACGAGUGAUCAAAAAUACACCAAAAAUUAAUUUUCUAA